rnacentral:ncRNA from 1 species
UAGGUGUCGUAGACUUAAUAGAUAAGCCGGUAAAGCCGGCACGGUCCCGCCACUGUAACGAGGAGCGAAUCUGCAGAGCGAAAGCAAGCCACUGUACAUCGGGAAGGCGCAGGUGAGCGAUGAAUCGGAGUCAGGAGAACUGCCUAGCU